GAUGAACGCUGGCGGCGUGCCUAAUACAUGCAAGUCGAGCGAACAGACGAGGAGCUUGCUCCUCUGACGUUAGCGGCGGACGGGUGAGUAACACGUGGAUAACCUACCUAUAAGACUGGGAUAACUUCGGGAAACCGGAGCUAAUACCGGAUAAUAUAUUGAACCGCAUGGUUCAAUAGUUAAAGACGGUUUUGCUGUCACUUAUAGAUGGAUCCGCGCCGCAUUAGCUAGUUGGUAAGGUAACGGCUUACCAAGGCAACGAUGCGUAGCCGACCUGAGAGGGUGAUCGGCCACACUGGAACUGAGACACGGUCCAGACUCCUACGGGAGGCAGCAGUAGGGAAUCUUCCGCAAGGGGCGAAAGCCUGACGGAGCAACGCCGCGUGAGUGAUGAAGGUCUUCGGAUCGUAAAACUCUGUUAUUAGGGAAGAACAAAUGUGUAAGUAACUAUGCACGUCUUGACGGUACCUAAUCAGAAAGCCACGGCUAACUACGUG
rnacentral:rRNA from 1 species